GAUUUGCACGGUUGCAGCAACAAUGCACCCGGUAAAAUCAGUUUAAAGCAGGCAGGGUUUCUUUGGCUCACAGACCCAGGCCUUGUAUAUGAAGCGUCCUCCCCUUCCCCAGGGCUUAAGUCCUAAAACCAGUGCUCCGUGCUGAAGGAUUCCAUGAAUCCCGGUUGGAUUUGGAAGCUUUGAGUGACCCAGACACAUGUUCCUCUUCCUCCUGCUCACAGGUACGGCCAGGCUUCUGCCAGUGCUCAAGAGACUCAGAAAAGUCCAGCUUGGCAUCAAGCACCGAGAAAAGACGUUAAAACAAACCACGUGUCCCCUUCCUUCCUGGCCACAAUCUGCCUGAUGGCUGUCAAACCUUCCAGGAUACUCAACGGCUGGCGCUUGCCUGCUGGGUUGCUGUCUUCCUCCUUCGCUUAUGCUUCCUGCCAGGCUCCUAAGAACUCCUGACACCAUGCCUGCAGCUUGAGCCUGUGCCUCCCUGCUCUGAUGGACUCAUCCCUCUGGAAGUGCCGAAUUCGAGGACUAAAAGUCUGAGGGGUUGAACUGUGUCACCAGCCAGAUCCAGCCACAGAAUAGUUGUGGGAAGCUUUGACUCAAAGCAGCAAUGGGAACAUUGUUUGCAAAGUGCAAACUCAGGACUGAGGGAAUGGCUCCGUUGGCAAAGUGCCCGCCUUGCAAGCUUAGAGGACCUGUGUUCAGUCCCCGGCUCCACACAAGAAGCUGUACUGUGGAGAUGAAGGCAGGAGGGCCUCUUGAAAUUUGCUGGCCAGCCAGCCUAUCUAUUCAUCCUGGUGGGUGACUCAAAAAAAGAGUGGCUCCUGAGUGAUGAGACAUGGUGUUGACAUCUGGCCUCCACACAUCAAGCAUGCACACAACCACAACCACGUACACACUGCACACAGAGAGGCUGCCUUGACAUUUCCUUUGCCAACCCCUCACUGCUCCAGUGAGCAUUCCCAAGGAAUGGCCAAGCAAAAAUGAGCCCUUUCUUUGCCAGACUUUUAGCCUUGACCCUUCACCCCCCAAGACCUGGAUUCAGCUAUGUCACAGGAAUCCAGGGACAGGGAAAGACCAACCAGAGAUACGGACUGGCCCCACAGUCUCAUGCCAUUCUCCCUACUAACUCCUUAUCCCCUACUGUGCUGAGAGAUGACUGUACCUUCUUGAGUGUUCUCGAUGGCCAUGGGGUGGAAGCACCACGGGAAUCCCCGGACACUGUCAUCAAAACAGCAACCUCUCUCCGUGCACUGCUGGGCGGUGACACCGGGGAAGCCACAAUUUAUCCUCUCCCGGGGGGCCAUGAUACAUGUUUCUAAAGUGAGGACAAAAAGCAGGGUGAGUCAUGGGCUGUCACACUGCUUCCUUCUAUGAGGAAACAGGACGCCGCCUGUGGGGAAGCCAGGUUUGAAUAUGCAAGGGGAUACAGUCCUCAUCUGUAGAUGCGGCAAGCCUGGCGCUGGGACAGUUCCAGGGCCACCGCUUCCUCAGCUGCAUUUGUUAGGUGAUGUACUGUUUGCUCAUUGUUGUACUUCUGCACUCAGUAAACUCUGCUCACCU
rnacentral:lncRNA from 1 species